UUUAGCUUUGGCCUUCUUUGAUCUUACUUGGCUUCCUUUUCUCUCCUUCUUUGACUAUGGUCAUCAUUGGAUUCCAUCGAUCGUUGCUACUUUUCCAGCAUCAUCCCCUCAUUGAUUAUAAAGUUUGUUUGGAUAGAAGGGAAAGAAUUUCUAAAAUCAUGUUUAUUUAGACUACAUAAAGGAAAGGAAAUGAUAGAAUUUAUAUUAUUUUACAAUAAUGCUCCUAACAUUCAAUUGUAGAGGUGUAUUGGGAACACAAUGAACAGCGGCAGCCCACUGUCCAACGGCGGCGAUGGUGACCCCGGUGAUGGUCGGUAUGGUCUGAAUGAGAAAAAUUACCAUCCAAGUCUUGAUCAGUGGCGGGAAGGGAGAGACAGACAGACUCGGCACCCAUCGUAGUCUUGACCAACGGCGGGGAGGGAGAGAAAGAGCCACGCAAGGUCAAGGGUAUACACGGCAAAAAUAAAUAGGUUUUUCCUUUCCUUCCCAAUCCCUCCAAUUUUGAAGGGAUUGGAUUUACAUUAGAACAUUCUUUCCAUUCCCUCCCUUUCUUUUCCUUACCUUUGCAACCAAACAAAUUUUUUACUUUUCUUUCCUUUCCCUUCUUUUUAAUUAAUCAACCAAACAAAUGAUUAAUUGUUCAAUCUUUUCCUUUCCCUCCAUCCAAACAAGAAGUUUAGUUCCCUUAUUUGCUUUUCCAAUGCCCCUACUACUUCUUUGGCAUUGUCUCCUACCAACCAGGACCCUCAACACAUAGGCUCUCUAAUUACCAGAAAAACUCAUGUCAUUUUAAAUCUUAAUAUUCGUUUCAAAAGAGCAUGCGACGUUUUAUGUCAGCCAACUAAGUCUCCCAACCUUAAAGGCCCUACAUGGCUAUGCUCUCUUAAUUGUGAUGAUCAAGUCUAAGCUGGUCAUACCACCUGCAAACUAGUUGAACUCUCUUUUGAUAUGAAAGGGAGUCCAACAACAAAACUUCAUUCUCGCCCCUACGACCAGCAGACCAGCAAAGCCCUCUUCAAGCACAUGAUUUACCAUUUUUGUUCUCCACAAAGACCAGCUCAAUCAGCCGUCUGGGAGGGUCUUCGAUCUGCCACAAUGGAGUCAAAAUUUUUGUGCAAAGCCACAAUUUGAUUGCAGUCGCAAUAGGAGAAGGCCACUGUUGUUUAUAAAAUACCUCAGUACAUGAAUUCCAAACUUCAUGUUUGGCAUCUCUAAGGCGUCUGACAACUCCUUGGUGUUUAGCUUGGUGCCUAAAGCACCAGAGUUUCCAAAUGACUAUAUUGAAUACUAGAUGCCAACAUUUCCAUAAUUCUUUGCAUCUCAUCUUCCUAUGGAACUACCAUGUCAGUUCAGCACAAACAUCUGAAGAGGGAGUCCUUGAGAUGUUAAACCAGCUAGUCACAAACUUCCAAAUAUUGGCAGAAAAAGGACAAGAAAACAAAUUGAGCAUACAAAUGGAGGCUAAGGCGAACCUCCGCAAUCUAGCAUCUAUCGGGAGCCUACCAAAGCUGCUGACAUUGGUGAAACGGUAGUCACUGAGAAUGGAGCCAGAGGUCCAAAUCAAUCUCCUCCAAUUCAGAACUGUACUUUCCUUUCUAAUGUAUCCCCAAAUUUGAUUUCUUGAUUUAAUAGCAAUGUGGCUUAGCUUCCAACAUAGAAGAUCUGCGCCAUGACUAAGCUCAAGAUCACAGCUUUCUUGAAUUAUUGGAACUGUUCCAUCUAGGAUUAGAUUUAUAUUAGAGAUUGGAGUAUGAACUGUCAUAUUAAGAUCUGCAUCAACAUAUGGAACAUCAUUGGCAUCGAUGCAUUGAAUUAAAGGUAAAUCCUUCCAAGGAUCUACCCAGAAUUUUGCUUUCCUACCAUUUCCAAUUUGCCAGUUAACUUUGUUACAUAUUCUUCUCAAUGCAGCCAUGAUGUCUUUCCAUAAUGGUGACCAUCUCUGGCCAUAGGAUUUAGUCCAGGCACUCCUUUUUGUUUAAGCACUUGGCCUUGCACAUGUUAUCCCAUAAAGAAUACUCAGUUAAUGCAACACAACCCAGGAAGACCAGACAUGAUACAUUUCGCUCAUAAAGGUUGACAUUACCUAUGCCUUCUCUAUUGAAUGGUUUCGAAAGGAUAGUCCAGGAGACCAAAUGAGGCAGCAAGUUGAUUCUGCAUCUCCCCAUAGAAAUGAGCACAUGACAUUUUCCAUCUUUUUAAUCACUGAAGUGGGGCAUUUUAGGACUAACAUCCAGGAAAGAGGGAGCAUAGAAGUAUUGACUUUAUGAGAUAAACUCUGCCUGUGUAGGACAAAAGUCGUCCUUUCCAGCUAGAGAGUUUAUUUUGAAACUCAAGGAUCGUUGGAUCCCAUACGCCAUUGCAUAAUCUGUCAGGCGAUAGGAGCAACCCCAAAUAUCUAGUUGGAAAUUGACCUUCAUUCCAUCCUCUUUGGAUUAGCAUAUCAAGUAUCCGCUGUCCUGAACCUGAUAUUAAAAGGAAUAGAGAUUUUUCAGCAUUGAUUUUCAUGCCUGACCCGACCUCAAAUUCUGAUAGAAGCUGGAACAAUUUCCAUAUUGAUUUCUUAUUGGAUCUUACGAAAAACAGGACAUCAUCCGCAUAAAACAAGGAGCUGACCUUGCCAACUGUCUUCCAAAAAGUAGAACUUCAAUUUUCUAUAUAUUAGCUACAAAUUGAAGACUUCUCGAGAAUAUUUCCAUAACCACCAAAAAUAAGCAGGCAGAUAAUGGAUCUCCCUGUCUUAGUCCCUGACUGCUGGUCAAAUAAUUUUCAUGCCUGCCAUUAAUGAUUAGUGCAUAUGCAGCAUUAGUGACACAUAUCAUAAUUCUUGAAAUCCAAUCAGGGUGAAAACAGAGAUGACCCAAGGCAGCUUCUAGAAAAGCCAGUUGACCCUGUCGUAUGCUUUAGACAGAUCAACUUUAAUGCAUACAAUUUCAGCCUUGCUGGUCCACAUUGAAUGUAGCAUUUCAUGAGCCAACAUGUAAUUCUGAUGCAUUAGUCCUAUUGACCAAAAAGACACCUUGAUUAUCAGCAAUGAAUCUGCAUAGAAUUGAUUUCAAAUGGAGAACCAUAAUACAAGUAAUAAACUUCAUUAUGCUAUUUUCAAGAGCAAUCGGCCAUAGAUUGGAAAUAUGCUUAGAACCACCUUUCUUUGGGAUUAGCACAAGAGAACUCCUGCCAAUUCUUUUGAAUAAUUUGCAUUUGUUAAAGAAAUCAUUAAUAGCAUUGCUGACCAAAUUACCUACUAACAAUGUUUCUGAAAAAUCCCAUUGGGAAAGCCAUCUGGCCCCAGCAAGCUUCCAGCUUUUGCUCUCAUAACAACACUGGCGAAAUUCCUCAUUAGAAACAGGUUUUAAAAGUUCCUGAUUCUCUUGUUGAAGAACUUUUGGUCCAGCAUGUAAUUCAGUUGGAAGAGCUCCUGUAGAAUCAUCCUUAUAAAAGAAGUGCUGAAAAUAUUCCCAACACCUAAUAUGGAUUUGAGCAGGAUAAGAAAUGGCGCCCUCAUUAGUAUCAAUUUCCAUAAUCUUCUUCAAAUCUCUUCCUUUAACCAUGUUAUGGAAAAACUUAGUGUUACCAUCACCUUCACUGAGCCACAUAGCCCUAGCUCUACGUAUAGAAAGAAAUGUCUUCCUCUUCAAGAGCUUCAACCAGUUUUUGACAGAUUUGAUUUUCUUCGCAGUAGGUUGUUUUAAAAUCAUUUUGUUGAUGAAGAUUUUCUAAUUGAAGCUGAAGUCGGUUAACUUUCAGCUCAACUUUCUCUAGCAUAUUUUUGCUCCAUUCCUUCAAUCUUUUUCUUACGCUUCCUAAUUUGGAGCAGAGUUGAACCAUUGGGCAGCCUUGGUCUUUCAAUAUCCAGAUUGUGGCAAUCAUUUGUCUGCAUUCGGGAUAUUUCUCCCAAUGUCUGGAGUAUCUAAAGAUCCCCUUUCCCACCAUAUAAGUUCUUUGAGAGGUGUGAGAAUAUACAAGUGCAGAGUGAUUAGAAGGUCUGAUUAACACUUUAAGGUGUGAAAGACCGCAAAAUUUUUCCAACCACUUUUGCAGAAACAUUGGUCGAUUUUGCUCAUUAUCAAAUCAACUCCUUUAAGAUGGUUCGACCAAGUAAUAGAGUUCUGUUCAUCAGCAAUUUCCUGCAGCCCAACAUAAUGAAUAAUGUAUUGAAUGCUAAGCAAGCUUGAAGGGUUGGGGCCCUCCCCAGUUUCUCAAAGUUUUGCCGAACAGAAUUAAGGUCCCCUAUUGUCAGAACUGGUUUAUCCUUCAGUGCUAAAGUAGCUCCCAACAUAACAAACUGAUCUCUUCUCAAUCUGAAAUCUGUAUGAAGGUAUGUUCCAACAACAUCAAAUUCAGCUUUUUGAUCAGCCAAAAAAAAACUACAAUCUAUCCAGUAAUUGUUAUAUCUACAACUUAUUAAAGUAAUUUCUUGCUUUUUCCAAGCAAGAACGAUCCAUGUCCAAUUUCUAUCUGCUUCCAGGUUAGAUUUAAUCUCAUAGCAAUUAAGUCUCCCACUGAAAAUCUUCAUACGAUCCUCACUCAGCAUGGUGUCUAGCAAGAAAAUAAUGUCAGGCAUCUGUUAACUUAUCAAGUUCAAACAGUCACGCUGGCCCGCUUGAUUGGCAAGUCCCCUAACAUUCCAGCUGCACACUUUCAUUUCAAAUUUGAAGAUACAGACUUUCCACUGGGUUCCAAACUGGCAGCCGAUGAAUUCUCCUUACCAUGAGCCUUUCCUAUACGAACUGCUUUUUCUUUUUUCUUUUGGACAAUCAAUAAUAUCAACAUUCUCUUUGAUUCCAGAUUGUGAACUAGAGGUGCCACCGUUUUUCUUUAUCAAGCUCACCUCUUUGUUCUUAAGUGUCCUUUUCCAACUGACAUUCGAAGGCUGGAAAUUCUUUUCUAGUAGUUGCUCUUUGUCUAGCACCAUCUCCAUGCUACCGUCUUCCCCAAGGCAUAGUAAUCAAGGCUAGAGGGAGCACCUUGAUCCAGUAACUCCAUCACUUGACCAAGAUUAGAAGGAGGAUGGUUGUCAAGAUCCUCUCCAGCACUAGAUAGGAUCCUUUUAGAAUCACCAGACUACACCUUCAGUAAUCUCCAUGUCCCGAUUGUGGCAGGAUCUUCUUGACCAUCAUGGUCUUCCAUUUCAAGAACCGAAAAUUGGUUUCCAUUAAGCAUUGGUUUAACAUUCUGAUUACUGUUGAUCUAGGUUUCCUUCGUGUGAUAUUAACUUGAGACCAGCCAUCAUUGGACAUAGGCUUAUCCUCUUUAGUGACUGGUACUUCCACCAUCGGACAAGCAUUCAUCCCAUGAGAGGUGAGACCACAGUUGUGAGAGAACUUGAUUUUGUGCCCAUAUUCCACAGUUUGUUCAAACACAUAAUCACCAUCCAUAAUGCACACCAAACUAUCUGGAACAAAAUCAAGGGGAACAGAAAUGAGAAGCCGUGCAUAU